rnacentral:tRNA from 1 species
GACGAGGUGGCCGAGUGGUUAAGGCGUUGGGCUGCUAAUCCAAUGUGCCCUGCACACGUGGGUUCGAAUCCCAUCCUCGUCG